UUUAUUUAAAGGUUUGGAACCGAGGGACAUUUGAAAUCAAACAGGCUGCGUUUAAACGACGUGUUCUCUCUCAGCUACGAUUUGCGUUUAGUGUUUUGUGGAUUUAGCUCUUUGGCUAGUUUUUCCUCUCUAUAACACAAAUUACAAAGGCUCUUAUUUUAUUUUGUUAGUAAAGCUUAUCAUAUUUUAGCGUUCCUUUACGUGUUCCUUGUUUAUGUAGCUCAAACAGAAGCUACCGUUAGCUGGUCGAUGUAGCUGCUAAGUAGCCUGGUAGGGUUACCUGGUUUAAAGCUGUUUUUAUUCUGCAUAAUAGCCUGUUGCGGUUGCUUUUGGAGACUGUGCAAUAAUACAUUUAGAUCAUGGACUCUUCCGCCUCGUUCAAAGUGGUAAAGGGCACGAAACCCCAAAGGCCAGAAUUAAUGUCAAACAGCAAUGGACCGAAGCGGGUUCCUGUGUCUCACCAUUCACAAGCCAUUCAGAAGUCUGUAGUCACACCGACUCAGCAUCAGCGGGUUCUGGGCAUGUCGAAUGGGCCGCAGCGUAUCCAGCGACCCGUUAGCCAGCAGAACCCAGUACCUCAUGUCUCUGUAGCUGUCAAGCACCCUCUUCCUGCUGACCAGAAUGUAAACCCAGCCACUAUGAAACUAACUCCAGCACCACAGCCAAAACCCGUUUCCCAGCAUAACCAACCAAAGACGCAUGUGCCAGCUGGCCACUCGGACUCGACCAAGCCUCCGUCGGAACCAGCAAAGCAGGAGAAGCCGCAGACCAAACCUGCAAAGGACAGUCAGGCCUCGUCAUCAAAGAAACCAUGGAGCCUGGAAAAUUUUGACAUUGGCCGUCCUUUGGGAAAGGGCAAGUUUGGCAACGUCUACCUGGCUAGAGAGCGCCAGACCAAAUUCAUCUUGGCCCUGAAGGUUCUCUUCAAGAAGCAGUUGGAGAAGGCUGGGGUAGAGCACCAGCUGAGGAGAGAAGUCGAGAUCCAGUCUCAUCUGAGACAUCCCAACAUCCUUCGCCUCUAUGGCUAUUUCCAUGAUGCUUCUCGUGUGUAUCUCAUCCUUGAAUAUGCACCCAGAGGAGAGCUGUAUGGCGAGCUGCAGCGCUGUGGGAGUUUCUCUGAGGACAGAACUGCAACAUACAUCAUGGAGCUGGCAGAUGCGCUCCACUACUGUCAUACCAAGAAUGUGAUUCACAGAGACAUCAAACCAGAGAACCUGUUGCUGGGAGGUAACGGGGAACUGAAGAUUGCUGAUUUUGGUUGGUCUGUACACACUCCAUCUUCCAGGAGGUCCACCCUGUGUGGAACACUAGACUACCUUCCCCCAGAGAUGAUCGAAGGUAAAACUCAUGAUGAGAAGGUGGACCUGUGGAGUCUGGGGGUCCUUUGCUAUGAGUUUCUUGUUGGAAAACCUCCAUUUGAAGCAAAAACUCAUGAUGAAACCUACCGUAGGAUUUCAAGGGUGGAGUACAGUUACCCUCCACAUACUUCCAUUGGUGCCGGAGCUAAAGACUUGGUGGCCAAGCUGUUGAAGCACAACCCCAUGCAGAGGUUGCCCAUUGAGGGAGUCCUCUCCCACCCUUGGGUGCUCCACUGCUCAACCAAGAAGCCCACAACUCUGAAUGGCCUUGUAGUCUCCAGGACUUGCUCUUGCUGAUCAAAUUCAAGUAUAGUUGUAACCAGAAGCACCCAGCGGAGGGCGCCAGACAACCACUGAAACUCAGCUCUUUAAUCUGCAAGAUGGAGCCCAUCUGGUCGUUAGAUUCGUUUGCAGUUGCCGUGAUUUCCUGACAUCUACAAAUGAAGCCAACCGGAAAUAAAUGAACGGCUCGUCCAGAUGUUACCCGCGUGCUCAGGAGGGAAUCAACAGAGUGAAUUAAAAGGAAGGCCGGAUGCCCGCCCGCAGCAGAAAACUGUUCAAGCGCAAACAUGCUUGCUCUUAAGUUCUCCAAAGACACGAAUGUAGAGUGAAAAGACCAAUUUGCGGCCCGAGUCAAAAUAAACUUAGAAACUCUUUUUCAAAAAUCUAAUUAAAAGAAAAAUAUAUGACUCCUACCAUCAC